rnacentral:lncRNA from 1 species
AGGAUCCAGUGAUGUUUAGGAGUCGUUUCAUAGUUGUUAAGUAGGUCAGAUCUGAUUGGGUUAGAAGUUCUGACUAAAUCUCUAAAUCUCUGACUGAGUUUAUAUUGUUUGAUUAUUUAUCUGACUGAAUCCACAUCAUUGAAUUUAUAUUGUUUGAUUAUGUCUCUGAUUAAGUCGCUAUGAUUAAUGAUGAAAAAUGACCAUAUUAUACUUAUGUUGGUUAGUUUUUAAUUUUUGGUUUUUAUACUUUUAUUCAAUUUUGAACAAUUAAACAUUAUAAGUUUGGUGUUUUAAUUUUUGGUUUUUCUAUUUAAUAAAUAUUAAAAUAUCUUUUUGUUACUUAUUGUUUUUCAUAUAUAAACUAAAUAAAUGGUUGUUUGGUUACAUGAUAUGAAUGAAGAAAAGAAGACCUUUUCCUAAUUUGCCCUUACAACCCACCGUCUCCAUUAUUUUCUUCUCGUAACAUUCAAAGAAAACACAACAUCUUCUCCAUCUCUUCUCUCCAUCAUCGAACCCCUCAAUCAUUUAACAUACCAAAUAUUCACAUCAACCAAUGGCAAAUUGAUAGGGAUCUUGAAGAUGAAGACACAAUAUAGGAUGAUAAUUCUAGAAAAACACAGUGCAAUUUUAGUUGUAUUGAAAAUUAAUCAUCGUCCCCUUCUUCUUAACAAAAAAAAACUAUAAAUAAUGUUUCUUCCCAAAAACAAGGAAAACAAUCAAAUCCAAUCAAAAUAUUAAAAUAUGAAUUAGAAAAUAAGGCAAGUGAAUAAUCUCAAGAUGGUAGAAGAUAUUCAUGCACGCAAGAUUUACUAUUUGACAUUUGUGUCAUUAAGUUGGCUGGUCCAUGGGUCGGCUACAUGAGAUGGAUCUGUAUCAUCCUCCCCGGCUUGAAAAUGACUCGGCCUCAAGUCCGGACUAGCAUCAUCCUCAGUUGGACUGUAAGGAGUUAAAUCAGCAACAUUAAAAGUAGCAGAGACGUUAUAGUGUCCGGGAAGGUCGAUUUUAUAAGCAUUGUCAUUGAUACGUUUAAGCACUUUAAAUGGUCCAUCCGCCCGUGGUUGAAGCUUCCCAAAAUGUCCUCCUGGAAAACGAUCUUUCCUUAAAUGUAUCCACACAAGAUCACCCUCUUGAAACACGACACGUUUACGGUGUUGAUUCACCCUUUUUUUGAUACUAGAGAUUAUGUUGGAUUAUUUGAUCGCGCACCUGCAUGUGAAGGUCUUGAAUUUGCUUAGCUCGAUUUUCUCCCUCGACAUUAUAAUGAUCAGUCCCCGGGCAUGGAGUAAGGUCAAGUGGAGUAAAAGGAUUCCUCCCAUACACAACAAAGAAUGGGCUCCUACCAGUGGACCUAUGAUUAGAUCUAUUGUAUGCAAAUUUGGCUUGAGCGAGCAUAAGAUCCCAUUGUUUAGGAUUGUCGCCGAUAAGGCUACGUAAAAGAUUUCCCAAGCUUCGGUUAGUAACUUCAGUUUGACCGUCUGUUUGAGGAUGGUAGGAGCUACUAAAUUGUAAACGUGAGCCCAAGCGUUUCCACAACGUUCGCCAAAAAUGACCAACAAAUUUGACAUCUCUAUCAGAAGUGAUGCUUUUUGGAAUACCAUGGAGGCGAACAAUCUCACUAAAAUAAAGUCGUGCGACUUGAAUGGCAUCAUAAGUUUUUGCACAUGGUAAAAAAUGCGACAUCUUUGAAAAUCGAUCAACGACCACCAUGAUCGAGUCUUUUUGACGUUGUGUACGUGGGAGACCCAAGACAAAAUCGAGACUAACAUCCUCCCACAGGCCAUUUGGAACAGGGAGUGGGGUAUAAAGACCUGCAUUAGUAUGGUGAGUUUUUGCAAUAUGACAUACCCGACAACAUGCGAGAAUCUGCGAAACAUCCUUCACUAAGUGAGGCCAAUAAAAACGAUAAUUAAUAAGGCCAACAGUUUUGUCUCGACGUACCAGGCGACGUCCCGCUUCAUACAGGGCCACCAAUAAUUAGGUCGAAGAUCUCGAUACAUCUUCGUCGCCCCUGGGUGGAUAGAAAACCGAGACUUAUGAGCCUCAUCCAUCAACACUUGCCGUACUCCACCCCAGUACGGUACCCACACUCUCCCGUGAAGCGUCAGCAAACCACGACUAUCAUAAUCAAACGAGGCUACUCGGCCCACGAUCCUCUCACACUUCUGUCUCUCCUCCUUGAGACCCUCCACCUGAGCCUCCUUGAUCCGCUCCAACAACGGAGUGAUCACUGUCAUCCUCAAACAUAGAUCCCUGAUAGGGGCCGCCGACACCUUGCGGCUCAGGGCAUCGGCCACCACAUUGGCCUUCCCUGGGUGGUAAAGGAUCUCACAGUCGUAAUCCUUUAGCACAUCCAACCACCUUCUCUGCCUCAUAUUCAGACUCGGCUGAUCCAUAAGGUACCUCAAACUCUUGUGAUCCGUGUAAAUAGUACAACGGACCCCAUAAAGGUAAUGCCUCCAAAUCUUGAGGGCAAACACAACUGCCCCCAGCUCCAAAUCAUGGGUAGGAUAAUUAGCCUCGUGAGGCUUCAACUGUCUCGAGGCAUAAGCUAUCACAUGGCCUCGCUGCAUCAAAACUGCUCCCAUACCUGUGAUCGAGGCAUCACAAUAGACUACAAAGUCCUCUACUCCCUCUGGCAAGGUAAGGAUCGGAGCCUCGCAUAAUCUCUGCCUGAGGGUCUCAAACGCUGACUGCUGCUUAGGACCCCAACGAAAUACCACUGACUUCCUGGUCAGUCGGGUGAGCGGCACUGCUAUCUUGGAGAAAUCCUGAAUAAAUCUCCGAUAAUACCCUGCCAACCCUAGGAAGCUCUGAAUCUCAGAUGGAGACUUCGGGACCUCCCACUGCAUCACGGCCUCUAUCUUGGCCGGAUCUACCAAAAUACCCUUCUGGUUGACGAGGUGACCAAGGAACUGCACCUCGCGCAACCAGAACUCACAUUUGGAGAACUUUGCGAAAAGUCUCUCCCUCCUCAAAACCUCCAGCACCUCCCGCAGGUGCUCCUCGUGCUGCUCCUGCGUCUUGGAAUAUACCAAGAUAUCAUCUAUGAACACUAUCACUGACCGAUCCAGCAUCGGCCUACACACGCGGUUCAUGAGAUCCAUGAACGCGGCUGGAGCAUUGGUGAGCCCAAAUGGCAUCACCACAAACUCGUAAUGACCAUACCUGGUCCUGAAAGCAGUCUUCUGUACAUCCUCAUCUCUAACCCGCAUCUGAUGAUAUCCGGAGCGUAGAUCGAUCUUGGAGAACCAAGACGCUCCCUGAAGCUGAUCAAACAAAUCAUCUAUCCUCGGGAGUGGGUAACGGUUCUUCACCGUUACCUUAUUCAACUCCCGGUAAUCUAUACACAUACGAUGCGACCCAUCCUUCUUCCUCACAAACAGGAUCGGCGCUCCCCAAGGCGAACUGCUCGGCCGAAUGAAACCCUUGUCUAACAGCUCCUGCAGCUGUGUAGACAACUCCUGCAUCUCAGGGGGAGCUAGUCGAUACGGUGCCUUGGCUAUCGGAGCCGCACCAGGGAUGAGGUCGAUCCUGAACUCAACCUGUCUCUCAGGAGGUAUCCCCGGCAAAUCCUCGGGAAACACGUCCGGGUAGUCUCGAACAAUAGGAACAUCAUCAACUGUCGACUUGCCCUUCUCCCGGGCAUCCAAAACGUAAGCUACAAAACCGGCGCAACCCUGCUGAACAUAGCGCCUCGCCCUUGCGGCGGAACAAAAGGUCGGUCCUCGCUGUGGCCUCUCGCCCUGAAUCACCAACUCUCCCCCACUGGGAGUGCGAACCCUCACUAGCUGAAGCUCACAAUCAAUCACCGCCCCAUUGGGGCUUAGCCAAUCCAUGCCCACAAUAACCUUAUUCCCUCGCAGGGGAAUAGGUACCAGGUCCACUGAAAACUGCUCAUCAAACAACUGAAGAGAACACCCUCUAUGCACUCUGCCGACCCUCACGGUCCUAUCAUCUGCUAUCUCAACCUCUAAUGGACAAUCCAGCUCCCCUGGAGCUCUACUAAAUCUCUUGCUAAGCGCAAGCGAUACGAAUGAUCGGGUAGCCCCCGAAUCGAAUAAUACCAUAGCAGAAAUGCCGUUCACAGAGAACGACCCUGAAUAAAACAUACAAUCAUAAGCAAUAUUCAAUCAAUAAUAAUAAAGAGAUAAAGGGAAGAUACAUACCCGUCACCACAUCAGGAGUCGCUCGCGCCUCCUCUGCUGUCAUCUGAAACGCCCUACUCUUCGCCACUGGCGCAUCAGCUCGGCCCUGCCGGCCAUCUGUAAUCCUCAAGGUAGCAGGGGCAGGUGCAGCCACCUUCCCUGCUGCAGCUAAACUCGGACACUGGGACUUUUUAUGUCCCCUCUGAUUGCACUGAAAGCAAAUCAGAUCUGAUGCUGCAACGGCAGUAGCAGGGGCCGUACAAUCCCUACUCAAAUGCCCAAUCCGACCGCACUUGUAGCAGCCGGAACUCCCUGCCUUGCACGCUCCCUCGUGCAAUCUCCCACACUUGCCACAUCGACCGUGGCUCUGCUGACUCCUAGAUCUGUGAUCCGAAACCUUGGGCUUUUUGCCCGAACCGCCUGAACCCGAAACCGCCUCCGGUUUCCUCUUCUUCUCCAUCUCGAGAUCAAUCUCCCUCUCCCGAGCCCUAGCAAUCAUAUCUUCCAGCGUUUUACAGCUGGACCGGCUCACAAACUGGCGGAUAUCGCUCCGCAACAUCUCAUGAUAACGGGCCUUCUUCAUUUCCUCAUCAGCUACGUACUGAGGAACGAGAAGAGCCCUCUCCCUGAACUUGGCGGUGAUCUCCGCCACUGUCUCUGUAGUCUGGGUGAGGUCCUGAAACUCCCUAGCUAGCUGUUGCACCUCAAUGACCGGUGCAAACUCCGCCCUGAACCUGGUAGAGAAAUCAGCCCAGGUCAUGGCGUCCAAUGCUGCAUCAUCCCCAAUGGCAUGCCCGACCUCCUCCCACCAAUCUCGUGCCCUGUCCUUCAGAAGACAGGACGCCAAUCUGACCUUGUCCCCCUCGGGACAUCUGCUAGUACGGAAAGCGUUGGCCACAUCCGCCAACCAUCUGGUGCUCGCUAUGGGGUCUCGCGCCCCAUGAUAGUCCGGAGCUCCACAUGCCCUGAACUCCCUGAAAGUAAGGGUGCGCGACCCCAUCAUGGCCGCCACCUCGGCACGGAAGGUGCCCAAUCUCUCAUCCAUCAGCUCUAGAAUCCCCUCCUUGAUCGAACCGAAGAUCACAGGAGUCUGCUCUAUAAUGAUGCGCGUAAUCUCCGAAGAAAGAAACUCUCGGGUCUGCUCAUCCAUGCGCUCAUCCCCCGAACCUGAACCUGAUCCCUCCCCGGCACCUCCGCUGCCGGCUGCUGGUCUCGAACGCAAAACCACCAUUCUGAAACACAUCACAACUACAUCAGAAAACAGAAAUAUCUCGAGGGAUCAUUGAUACUACAACUAGCUUCCUGGUCUUGUCUCAGCCUUUCUUGAUUCGAGUACGGAUCCUCUGCUUCCAGUAGUACGGGCCCAUACUACCUUCCACAUCUAUCCGUACUUUCUUCAAGAACUGCCCUGACUCCACCAAGUCACUUCUACUACUACUGAUCUCUGCUACUCUCAUCCUAGGCUUGCCCCAGGGAAACCUCAGACUUAACUCAACUAGUCCUCAGCUGCUGCAGGUCUCCUUAUAAUGCUAAUUAACCAUCACCUGAACACCAUCACAUGUGACGAAGAUCAGAUAAUCCUUCAAGUAAAAGACCCGUCCCUAUAACGGUUGGACUCAAACAAGAGCUGCGCAAUAGGGCCAGUUCCAGCACUCUGGGAUUAUUCAACCCUGAUCACAUGUGGUGUAACGUGUUCACCUAAUGGCUAACUUCCAUCACUCAGAACUCCCACAAAGCACGAAGCAAGCAGCAUUCGGAAUAAGGAAACAUACUCAGGCAAAACUAUUCUCAAAACGAGAAACUGAUCUAGCAUACAGUGCUAAGCUCAUACUAUCAGGCAUAACCUAAACAGGCUAUCCUACUGCUGUCUACUCAAUACUAGCAUGCAAUACUCAUAAAGCUGUAACACAUAAAGCAGGCACAUAAGGCAUCCUCCUAGAUCCUUAGUCCUAUACUAGCAUGCUGUUCUACUGAAACUGAAACUGAACAAAUAACUUGUAUGGGUAAUUUGGGAGUACUUACUUGAGCUCGGCUGAUCGCAUGCACCACACCCUUAUCUUGUUUAAAAAAUUUUUUCUUUCUAAGUGCUUUCAAAAUUCUUUUAGAAAACAUUUUCCUUUUAAAAAUCUUUUUAUUUCCCCUUAGUUUGAGUUCAGAUACACCCGGAAGUGUAUCCGAAUCCCUCAAACCAGGGCUCUGAUACCAACUUGAAACGACCCAAAAAUACGACCCAAAAAUUUCGUUUUUCAACAUAACCAAAAACCAUAAUCUGAGUGUCAUAUCAUAAACCAUACAUGAUGUAUCUCAAAAUAAUAAUAAAAACACUGUGCGGAAAACUGUAUCAUAUCCAUGUCAUAUAAAAAUCAAGAACCAAAUCAACUCCCAGGAUAAAAGCUGAAGCUGUGGUGUGUGCGAUGCCAUCAUCCCGAGCUCUUCCCUCUACAAGCGGAAGUACCUGAAACCAAAACUGAAACUGUAAGCACGAAGCUUAGUGAGCUCCCCCAAACUACCACAUACCAUACAAUACAUAUAAAUCACAUACUGGGCCUUGCCCACUGCAUCAGACCGAGGUCUGGAACUAGCUGCAUCGGACCGAAGUCCGGAACUGACUGGGACCUUGUCCCCUGCAUCGGACCAGAGUCCGGAACUAACUGCAUCGGACCGAAGUCCGGAACUAACUGCAUCGGACCGAAGUCCGGAACUGACUGCAUCGGACCGAAGUCCGGAACUAACUGCAUCGGACCGAAGUCCGGAACUGACUGAUCAUGACAUAGCAUAACACAUAACAACUAUUAUAAUCACAUAUACUGCAUACUGCAUCGGACCGAAGUCCGGAACACAUACUCGAAUAUGCUUGAAUCACAAAGACAUCAAGCACUCUAGCUACUGCAUCAGACUAAAGACCAGAACUACUGAUAAUUACACGGGCCGGCAUUGCGGCCGUAGACCCGUUCCUACUGAAGGGAAACUCACCUCGUGAACUGGCUGCUGAGUGUAUGGCUCUGGAAGCUAGCUGCUGCUGCUCCGGUAUCUCCCCGGCUACAAGUCCAUAAACACACUCAAUCAAAUACUAAACACUGCACUGGGUAAAAUGACUCUUUUACCCUUGGUCAAAGUCAACUCUCAGACAAAGUCAACUCUCGGUCAAAGUCAACCCAUAGUUGACCUGACUCGCCGAGUUGGGCCGCCAACUCGCCGAGUCCCUAUUCUCACUCCUCGACUCAACUCGCUGCUACUCGUCGAGUAUGGCAUCGACUCGACGAGUACUCUCCCGAUCCAAGAACUCAGACAAUCUUCAUCCGACUCGCCGAGUCCUAUGAACAACUCGACGAGUUGUUCUUGAGCUUAAGAAGAUUGCCUUGGACUCGCCGAGUUGUAUGAACAACUCGCCGAGUCCCUCCAUUACUGAGUCUACCCUCAAACUCGCUGAGUCCACUCCACUACUCACUGGUCCCACUCGACACCGCUCAAAAGGAAGAAAUCGGGGACUCGCGACUCGACUCGCCGAGUCGUUCUUCCGACUCGCCGAGUCACCGCCAUGCAACUAUUCUACACUCGAUUCUGCUCGAAUCCAAUACAUACAAAUGAUAGAUCUGAGUCCAAUAAGCUGAUUUACCACGUAAAGUUUCCAACUUUACGUGUACAAACACAUGAACAAGGGAAUAAAGGCUAAAAGAUGCUUAAAAGGGGUAGAUCUAGGGUUAAUAUGCAAAAUAGCUCCAUAAAGGCAAUAGAUCUGGGCUCUACAACUCCUAAAUGAACAGAUCUAAGGUUAUCUCGGCAUAAGAGAGCUUCCAUAUCAACAUAAAGCUUUGAGAAAGGCAUUAACAAGAUCUAGAAAGGGUUUUAAGGCAUAAAAGAGAGGGAAAACUGAAGAAUACCUCAAAGAGCUCUUGCUUUCCCUUGAAUCUCUGCUCUACAAUCCUUCUCCUUGCUCCUUUCUUCUUCUCCUUCUUCAAGCCUUCACAAUAGCACACAAAAUCACUUAGAAUCACUCAAGAACGAAUUAGGGUUUUCUCACAGCUUUUGAGGGUGAAGGAGGCGAGAUUGGGGGCUAUAAGGUGGCUUAAAUAGUGGGCAACCCGGGGAUUUAGGGUUUCUCCCAGACGGACAGACUCGCCGAGUCCAGAAUAUGGACUCGCCGAGUCGCCAGCUAACACGUGCUCGAAAUCCCGACCCUACUCGGCGAGUCAGGCUAUGAACUCGCCGAGUCCCUUUACAAAACUUCAAAAUAAAUACCAAGGAAUCAUCAUACCGAGAACGGGUCGUUACAGUUUUUUAGGACUGCAAAAGCUCUAUUUGCAUCUUCUGUCCAAACAAAUUUACCACCUUUCAAACAAUUGGUAAUGGGUGCAACAAUGGUACUAAAGUUCCUAAUAAACUGUCGGUAAAAUGAAGCUAGACCAUAAAAACUUCGAAUGUCCCGUAGUGUUUUGGGGAUAGGCCACGAAGUAAUUGCUUCAACUUUAGAAUUAUCCAUUCUAAUCCCAUUACCUGAGAUUAAGAAACCCAAAAAGGUGACCUCAGAUGUCAAAAAAGGCACUUGUUGCGGUUGGCAUACAAUUUUUGCUCUCGAAGAACCCGAAAAACAUCACGUAGAUGUUGCAAAUGAUGUGUGAGGUCUUGGCUAAAAAUUAGGAUGUCAUCGAAAUAAACGACAACAAAACGGCCAAGGAAGGGUUGAAAAAUAUGAUUCAUGAGCCGCAUAAACGUACUCGGUGCGUUGGACAAACCGAAUGGCAUAACCAUCCACUCAAAUAAACCGUCCCGUGUUUUAAACGCUGUUUUCCAUUCAUCUCCCGGCCGCAUGCGGAUUUGGUGAUACCCGCUUCGAAGAUCGACUUUUGAAAAAACUUGUGCUCCGUGUAACUGAUCAAGUAGGUCCUUGAAUCGUGGGAUAGGAAAACGAUAUUUUACCGUGAUUUUGUUAACUGCACGACUAUCUAUACACAUACGAUAGACACCGCCAGGUUUCAGAACAAGUAGGGUUGGGACUGCACAAGGGCUCAUGCUUUCACGAAUGAGACCUUUUUGGAGAAGUUCGGUGACUUGUCGAUGUAAUUCUUCAAAUUCUUUGGGAUUCAUUCGGUACGCCGGUUUGUUCGGAAUGCGAGCGCCGGGUAAAAAAUCAAUACAAUGUUGUAUUUCCCGCAUAAGUGGUAAACCUGUAGGUGUAGGUAUUUCAUCAGGAAAAACAUAACUGAAUUCACUAAGUAGAGGUUGAACCUAUGUGGGGGUGUUGUGAUUGCCGGCAUUCUGUUCGGUCACAAAUAAAGCAAAUAGGAAUUGUUGCUCAUGUAAUCGUGAAUAGUUAAUGAAUUCACCUCUAGAAAGAAUCAUGGCUUCUGUAGCAGACUGACGUGUAUCUUGUGGAGCUAACACAAUACUAAUACCAUCUUUUUUGAAGCUAUAAGUGUUAUGAAAUCCAUCAUGUUUGGUACGACGGUCAUAUUGCCAAGGGCGGCCCAAUAAAAUGUGACAAGCGUCCAUAGGAAUGACCUCACACCACACCUCAUCCGUAUAUUUAUUCCCAAUAGAAAAGUGGACCAAGCAUCGUUUAGUAACACUAACAAUAUUGCCUUUCUUUAACCACGUCAACUGAUAAGGUUCGGGAUGAUUUUCGACCAGCAACCCCAGUUUCUCAACCAUUGUUGUUGCGACCAUUUUCUCACAACUACCGUCAUCAAUAAUAAUAGAACACACUUUCCCUUUCGCGGUGCACUUGGUACGAAAAAUGUUGUGUCGUAGCCAAAGAGUGUCAUCCCUGGUCUUGUCAAUGACAACACUAAGAACAUGCUGCACUACUAAGGACUCGCCUCGAUCUGGGUAAACAAUUUCCGGUUCUCCCUGUGUCGGUUCUUCAGCUUCCCCACCGUCAUCAUCAUAUUUAGGUUCAUCAACAAAAGUAACAAGUUGUGUAUUUGGGCAGGGUGCGUAAUGACCUAGACCUUGACAUUUGUAACAACGUGGAGGUCGGGCAAUAGCUUGGCUUCCCGCCCUAGUGGACGUUCCUUCGGUUUUGGUUAGAGAACCUGCCCCUAGUUGGUUGCUAGACGGGCCAACAGAUUUGUUGAAAAAUGGGGUGCGACUGGUAUUGGUUUGUGGUUUAUUUUUUGUUGUUUUUCCACUUUGAGGGCUAGAUGGCACACAUCCUGGAGGGUCCAAAAUUGUUGUAACUGGACUACAUCGGCUAUUUCGGGAUGCAAAGCUCCUAAGAAUCGGACAACUACCUGUUCCUCAUCUUCAUCGGCCUCGCAACGCAUUCGCAAACGAUCGAAAUCGGCUAUGAACUGCUCAACAGAAGAAUUUUGUUGUGUUAAAUUGUGAUAUUCGAAAAAAGCAUCUUGCCUAUAAUUAAGUGGUAGGAACUGGGUGCGGAGCAACUUCAUUUUUUCCCAUGUUUGUACUCGAGAUUUGCCUUGUUGAAUUCUUUUCUUUUUCAUGUGGUCCCACCAUAAGGAAGCAUAUUUACGUAACUUGAUGGCUACGACUUUCACCUUUAAGUGAUCGGGUAUAUCACGGAGUUCAAACACACGUUCGACAGUACUCAACCAAUCGAUGAAGUCGUCUUGUUGGGCCCGCCCUUCAAAUUUCGGAAUGUCAACGCGUACCCCUAAAGUACAUAGAAUGUCGUUGCGAUUUUGUUGUUAGAAUUGAAUGAUCGGGGGGCGCCCAAAAGGAUUCUCCUCUCUGUCAUUACCAUCGUCCCAGACGACGGAAUCGGACUCGGUUUCCUCUUGGCGAUCCUCCUGUUGUAGUUCUAGAUCUCGAAUCUAUUGUUGUAUUGUUCAAUUUCUUCAACAUCACGUGGAUUGCGUUGCGGACCAACACCCUCUAGCGCACCACCGCGACGAUUACUGUUUCGUGUAGGUCGUCCUUUUCCAGCCAUAAAUAUCAGAACCUGGAAACUGAUACCACUUGAUAGGGAUCUUGAAGAUGAAGACACAAUAUAGGAUGAUAAUUCUAGAAAAACACAAUGCAAUUUUAGUUGUAUUGAAAAAUUAAUCAUCGUCCCCUUCUUCUUAACAAAAAAAAAAAAAACUACAAAAUAAUGUUUCUUCCCAAAAACAAGGAAAACAAUCAAAUCCAAUCAAAAUAUUAAAAUAUGAAUUAAAAGAUAAGGCAAGUGAAUAAUCUCAAAAGGGUAGAAGAUAUUCAUGCACACAAGAUUUAGUGUUUGACAUUUGUGUCAUUAAGUUGGCUGGUCCAUGGUCGGCUACAUGAGAUGGAUCUGUAUCACAAAUAUUAAUAGCAAAUGAUUUCAUAUGUCAGCAACAAUUCAACGAGCACAGCGAUAGCAACCAAAAUAAUUGUAGCAAAAGUUCAUAGCAAAUGGAAACCACAACAACAAUUCAAAGCUAAUCGACAAUUUGCAACUAUCGGGAACAUAAAAGUCAAAAACACACCUGGUCAGAAGAAGGUGAUCUCCAGGUUGCGAGGUCGGAGGAAGACGACGGAUUCUGAGCACUGGGUGGUCGUUGGUAGCAGGGGAUAGGGGAUAACUUUUUUUGUUUUUGUGGAAGCGUGUUUAUGAUAACAAGGCAAAAGUAGUAUUAAAAGAAUUUUGUCUCGAUCCUUCUUAUUUGAAGCUUGAACUGAAUCAAUCUAUUUUGAUGGAC